UGGGGAAUAUUGGACAAUGGGCGAAAGCCUGAUCCAGCCAUGCCGCGUGAGUGAAGAAGGCCUUAGGGUUGUAAAGCUCUUUCACCGGUGAAGAUGAUGACGGUAGCCGGAGAAGAAGCCCCGGCUAACUCCGUGCCAGCAGCCGCGGUAAUACGGAGGGGGCUAGCGUUGUUCGGAUUUACUGGGCGUAAAGCGCGCGUAGGCGGUUGACCAAGUCAGGGGUGAAAGGCCUGGGCUCAACCUAGGAACUGCCUUUGAAACUGGUCGGCUUGAGUCCGGGAGAGGGUGGCGGAAUUCCCAGUGUAGAGGUGAAAUUCGUAGAUAUUGGGAAGAACACCGGUGGCGAAGGCGGCCACCUGGCCCGGUACUGACGCUGAGGUGCGAAAGCGUGGGGAGCAAACAGGAUUAGAUACCCCCGUAGUCC
rnacentral:rRNA from 1 species